UACGGGGGGGGCAAGCGUUGUUCGGAAUUACUGGGCGUAAAGGGCUCGUAGGCGGCCAACUAAGUCGGAUGUGAAAUCCCCAGGCUUAACCUGGGAACUGCAUCCGAUACUGGAUGGCUUGAAUUCGGGAGAGGGAUGCAGAAUUCCAGGUGUAGCGGUGAAAUGCGUAGAUAUCUGGAGGAACACCGGUGGCGAAGGCGGAUCUCUGGGCCAUUACUGACGCUGAGGAGCGAAAGCGUGGGGAGCGAACAGG
rnacentral:rRNA from 1 species